CUACGGGAGGCUGCAGUGGGGAAUAUUGGGCAAUGGGCGCAAGCCUGACCCAGCAACGCCGCGUGAGGGAAGAAGGUUUUCGGAUUGUAAACCUCUGUCCUUGGGGACGAAGAAGUGACGGUACCCAAGGAGGAAGCUCCGGCUAACUACGUGCCAGCAGCCGCGGUAAUACGUAGGGAGCAAGCGUUGUCCGGAAUUACUGGGCGUAAAGGGUGCGUAGGCGGCAUAUUAAGUCAGGUGUGAAAUACUCGGGCCCAACCCGGGGGCUGCAUUUGAAACUGAUAUGCUUGAGUGUGAGAGAAGAAAGUGGAAUUCCUAGUGUAGCGGUGGAAUGCGUAGAUAUUAGGAGGAACACCAGUGGCGAAGGCGACUUUCUGGCUCAUAACUGACGCUGAGGCACGAAAGCGUGGGGAGCAAACAGGAUUAGAUACCGCGUAGUC
rnacentral:rRNA from 1 species